rnacentral:rRNA from 1 species
UACGUAGGAGGCAAGCGUUGUCCGGAUUUACUGGGCGUAAAGAGCGCGUAGGCGGUUGGGCAAGUCUGCUGUGAAAUCUCCAGGCUCAACUUGGAGGGGUCAGUGGAAACUGCCAAACUUGAGGACGGUAGAGGGGGGUGGAAUUCCCGGUGUAGUGGUGAAAUGCGUAGAGAUCGGGAGGAACACCAGCGGCGAAGGCGGCAUCCUGGCCCUUACCUGACGCUGAGGCGCGAGAGCGUGGGGAGCAAACCGG